UUUCUCCAUGAUAGAGCGAACAUCAUCAUGCAUAUCAAAUUAUCUAUGUUUUGGCUUCCUUAGGAAUCAUUAUUUAGAAAUGAAAUUAUUGGGUAAAUUAUAAUAAACAUUUAAAAGCUUCUGAUGCCAGAAAACCUUGUAAAAAUAUUACGGUGCCUGUUUUACUGCACUUUGACCAACGUUAGUUAUUACAUCAUUAUAAUUGCAAAAUCUUUGCUAAUUUAAUAGGCAAAUAGUGUUUUGUUGUUGUUGUCUUGAGAUGCCUGUCGCUCAGGCUGGAGUGCAGCAGUGCAGUCACAGCUCACUGCAACCUCUGCCUCCCAAGCUCAAGUGAUCCUCCCAUCAUAGUCUCCCCAGUAGCUGCGAUUACAGGCAUGUGCCACCGUGCCCAACUAUUUUUGUAAUUCUUUUUUGGUAGAGUUGGGGUUUCACUAUGUUGGCAAGGCUGGUCUUGAACUCCUGGGCUCAAGCAGUCUACUCACCUUGGCCUCCCAAAGUGUUAAGAUUACAGGUGAACACUGCACCCUGCCUGCAAAUAGUCUUAACUUCCUAUUUGAAUUUGUUAUAACUGGCUAGGUUAAUUUUGUGGGGAAGGGAGUAUGUUUUGCUAUUUAGACUUAGUUGAUCUCAAAAAUAGGCUUUUUGUGUUUCUUGUUCCUAAGACUUAUAUAUUAUAAUGGACUCAGCAUAAACUAAAAUCUGUUUUUUCUAACACUUGCUCUCAUUGUCCAUUUUCUAGAACUCUGUCUUCACCCUUAGCAGGUGAGAAUGGAGUAGUUGUGGUGGUGGUAGUCAUAGCAGGAGGGUGAAACCUUCACCGAAUGCUGACUGUGUGCCAGGCACUUUGUGUGGGUUACUUAUCUUCCUUAAUCUUUACAACUCUAAAGGGUGGGUACUAUUAUUAUCACAAUUUUUACAUACAAUAAAAACUUAGGCUUAGAGAGGGAGGUUAACUAACUUGAUCAAAGCCAGCAGCUUGCAAGUGCAGGAGCCAGGUGCAGACCUGGAAUGCUUUGCUGCACACUGCGUCUCCCACGAGUGUAAACACUUGGCCACUGUACUUUGCAGUGGAGCCGCAGAUUUAAGCUUUCACUUGGGGUCACUAAAUCUGGUGAAUUUCUAAUCAGAUUUAUAGAAUAUAUCACAUGUGAUGUCCAGCCUGUGCUCUGCCCACCUUCUGUUUUUUUCAACAGGACCAGAAUUCUGGUGAAGUAUUCUAGACUCUAGGAAGAAAGCUGUCUGGAUACCUCUUUUUCUUCAGAUAUCUGGGAAGACUGUCACAGACCAGACUUAAUGGGGCUGACAGCUGUGGGUGUGGGCUUUCGUCUGUCUUUUGGUUUGCUUUCAUUUGGAGGUGCUUUCAUUCCUAGGGCAGUAUCCAUUUGGAAAAAGACUAAGAAUGACUCCUGUCAAUGAAAAGAACACUUAAGGCUCUGUUUCUACUCUCUCAGCCUGUACAUUGCCUUUUUGGCCUUUAUCUUGGCUCAAUCUUGUCUGUUCAGCAUAGGGGAUUUGAUUUACUAGCUUCCGGGAAGUGGAGAGAAGAGUGGUAACUGUUUAUUAAUAUUUUGUUCAUCUAUGAGUACGUUAAUUUGAUUUUUUGGUAUGUAGAUAGAUAUUUUAUAAAAGCAUGACAUGGUAGUGUUUGGCCCAGCCCUCCCAUCCUAGGUUGAUGAAAAUAUAAGAUGAUGUCAAAGCCAGAGGAGCUGUGGAUUUCCUGUCGUAAAGCAGACUUCUUGCCUUGUCCCAGGACAGCCAUCACCACCACCUUCUUUCUCAUCAGGGCAGGGGGCUUGCAGUGUCAUACAUUAAGUGAGGGAACCUGUGGUAUGACCUAUUCCCCAAAUCACUAUUUUCCUUUAAAAAAAUGCAUUAUGCAUUUUCCCCCAGAAAACCUGAUUUCUUUUCAUUGAGGAUAGAGUCAGAGGCACUGACAUUCUCUGGGUACAUGCCCACUGACAGUGCAGGGAGGAGGGACAAGUAAAGUGGGGGCAGCCCAAGAGUACAUUUGGCAAAUUAAAGAUAACGCCUGUCCUCAGGGAACCCUGUCAGCCCAGCAGUGCAGCAAGUCCAGUCUAAACAUGAACAAGCAUGAAGAUAUUUGCUAAAUCACAGGCCUUACUCCUAGUGGGCUCUGUGUUUGGAAUGUGCCAUAUUACAAGAAAGAAGGUUUGAUGGUCCUGUCUUACUUUGUGUUGGACAUGGCUGGAGGAGGGAGGAGAAUCUUGGGAGUAAGUAUGUGUUUCCAAAAUGGGGAAUUAUGAUUUGCAGUUUAUGCAAUCAUGAAAAUGAAUUGCUUUGUGGGAUGAAAAGGUAAGCCAGACCCAUGGCUGUUGAAUUAAAAAUGAUGCAUUGCCCUUAACGAAAAUGAGGCCAUGGAGCCUUAUUUAAAUUCCACCAGCUAAACAUGUGUUUUGAAUACCAGCAUGGGAACUCAGGAGUUUCUCCGGUAUUUAGGCCGAAUUAUGGCUGGAUGAAGGAAAUAAAAUGCCCUGUGUGUCCUGACAAACGGCUCUGCAGCAUGGGUAUUUCAAGAAGCUAGGGUCAAGUUCAGGUUACUUUCUCAGGAAACCUAACAAUUCCAGCUGUAAUGUAUUAAAUGAGUGACUUCUGUAAACAGGAGGGUUAUCUGUAGCCACCCUGGAUAGCAAUGAUUUUGAUCUUAGUUUACCCAAGAGUAGAGUCUUCAUUUGAACAGUUAUGAGAUUUAAGGUGUCUACAUGACCAAAGGGGUCCAGGUGGGAAGUUACAUGAGUUUGGAAAAAAAAUUUCAGGGGGUUUGGGUUCUGGCUCUUCCUUCCGGUAGCAAAUUGCAUAAGUUCUCAGAGCCUCAGUUUCCUUAUCUGUGAAAUGUUACAGCUGAUUUUUUUUCCCUAAAACUAUUAGGUUGGUGCAAAAGUAAUUAUGGUUUUUGCCAUAAUAACUGAUUUUCUUCGUUCGAUAAAUAAAACAUAUUCAUUGCACAAAAUUUAGAAAUACAGAUAACUCCCAUUCCGCCCCCCAAAAGAAAGAAAAUAGAAAUUGCCUCAGUCUUAUUAUCCAGAGAUACCAUUGUUAAACCCUCUGUUCACUAUGUUGCUUCAAGGACUAGAAAAUUAUAAGAAAAUACUGUAAGUUGCAAAGCUCUAUAUAAAUAAGCGGUAUUUUUAUUGAGUCAACAGAAUUCAAAUUUGAACCUCUUCACAGCCAAGAAGCCCUAUAUUAUUUAACCUCAUUUUAAAUUUCAUUUUGUUUACAUUUUUUCUGAAUAUUAAAAUAACAAUGCUGA
rnacentral:lncRNA from 1 species